rnacentral:rRNA from 1 species
GACGAACGCUGGCGGCGUGCUUAACACAUGCAAGUCGAACGGAAAGGCCCUGCUUUUGUGGGGUGCUCGAGUGGCGAACGGGUGAGUAACACGUGAGUAACCUGCCCUUGACUUUGGGAUAACUUCAGGAAACUGGGGCUAAUACCGGAUAGGAGCUCCUGCUGCAUGGAGGGGGUUGGAAAGUUUCGGCGGUUGGGGAUGGACUCGCGGCUUAUCAGCUUGUUGGUGGGGGAGUGGCUUACCAAGGCUUUGACGGGUAGCCGGCCUGAGAGGGUGACCGGCCACAUUGGUACUGAGGUACGGCCCAGUCUCCUACGGGGGGCAGCAGGGGGGAACCUUGCACAAUGGGCGCAAGCCUGAUGCAGCAGCGCCGCGGGCGUGAUGCCGGCCUUCGGGUUGUAAACCGCUUUCGCCUGUGACGCAGCGUGAGUGACGGUAAUGGGUAAAGAAGCACCGGCUAACUACGUG